AUUGAACGCUGGCGGCAUGCCUAACACAUGCAAGUCGAACGAGUGGCGGACGGGUGAGUAAUGUCUGGGAACCUGCCUAAUGGAGGGGGAUAACUACUGGAAACGGUAGCUAAUACCGCAUACCAUCAGAUGUGCCCAGAUGGGAUUAGCUAGUUGGUGGGGUAACGGCUCACCAAGGCGACGAUCCCUAGCUGGUCUGAGAGGAUGACCAGCCACACUGGAACUGAGACACGGGCCAGACGCCUACGGGAGGCAGCAGUGGGGAAUAUUGGACAAUGGGGGCAAGCCUGAUGCAGCCAUGCCGCGUGUAUGAAGAAGGCCUUCGGGUUGUAAAGUACUUUCAGCGGGGAGGCGUUACCUGCAGAAGAAGCACCGGCUAACUCCGUGCCAGCAGCCGCGGUAAUUC
rnacentral:rRNA from 1 species